rnacentral:rRNA from 1 species
AACGAACGCUGGCGGCGUGCUUAACACAUGCAAGUCGAACGAGAAAGCGGGCUUCGGUCCGCUAGUAAAGUGGCAGACGGGUGAGUAACACGUGGGUAACCUGCCCGGAGGUGGGGACAACCCUCCGAAAGGAGGGCUAAUACCGCAUGAUAUCCCUGAGGCUUCGGCCUUGAGGAUCAAAGCUAGCCUCUACAUGUAAGCUAGCUCCACCGGAGGGGCCCGCGGCCCAUUAGCUAGUUGGNGAGGUAACGGCUCACCAAGGCGACGAUGGGUAGCCGGCCUGAGAGGGUGUUCGGCCACACUGGAACUGAGACACGGUCCAGACUCCUACGGGAGGCAGCAAGUGAGGAAUCCUGCGCAAUGGGC